rnacentral:rRNA from 1 species
UACGGGGGGGGCAAGCGUUGUUCGGAAUUACUGGGCGUAAAGGGCUCGUAGGCGGCCAACUAAGUCGGAUGUGAAAUCCCCAGGCUCAACCUGGGAACUGCAUCCGAUACUGGAUGGCUUGAAUUCGGGAGAGGGAUGCAGAAUUCCAGGUGUAGCGGUGAAAUGCGUAGAUAUCUGGAGGAAUACCGGUGGCGAAGGCGGCAUCCUGGACCGACAUUGACGCUGAGGAGCGAAAGCUAGGGUAGCAAACAGG